rnacentral:rRNA from 1 species
GAUGAACGCUGGCGGCGUGCUUAACACAUGCAAGUCGAACGGUGAAGGCGGAGCUUGCUCUGCUGGAUCAGUGGCGAACGGGUGAGUAACACGUGAGCAAUCUGCCCCUGACUCUGGGAUAAGCGCUGGAAACGGCGUCUAAUACUGGAUACGAGCUGCGAAGGCAUCUUCAGCAGCUGGAAAGAAUUUCGGUCAGGGAUGAGCUCGCGGCCUAUCAGCUUGUUGGUGAGGUAAUGGCUCACCAAGGCGUCGACGGGUAGCCGGCCUGAGAGGGUGACCGGCCACACUGGGACUGAGACACGGCCCAGACUCCUACGGGAGGCAGCAGUGGGGAAUAUUGCACAAUGGGCUAAAGCCUGAUGCAGCAACGCCGCGUGAGGGACGACGGCCUUCGGGUUGUAAACCUCUUUUAGCAGGGAAGAAGCGAAAGUGACGGUACCUGCAGAAAAAGCGCCGGCUAACUACGUG